UUUCAGUGCGAUUAGCUUUC
rnacentral:misc_RNA from 1 species